CCGGUAAUCUAAUAUUAUGCGCUCCACCUCUUCCCAUUCCGAACAGAGAAGUUAAAGCAUAAUGUUCCGAUGAUACUUAAGCCUCCGGGCUUUGGGAAAGUAGGAUUUGCCGGGAUAU
rnacentral:rRNA from 1 species